rnacentral:tRNA from 1 species
GCCUUGGUAGUAUAACAAAUACACUGGUCUUGUAAACCAGAAAUGGAGAAGUAAAUCUCCCUAAGACA